GUAGUACUUCGUUCGUCCAGAAAUACUUGUCCUAAAAGUAGAUGUAUAUAGAUUUAUUUUAGUUAUAAAUACAUUUAUUUUGUACAUUUUUAGAACAAGUAUUUUCGGACGAAGGAAGCACACG
rnacentral:pre_miRNA from 1 species